CCCGCUCCUCGGCAUUGGCCGGGACGCAGAGCCACGCCCCCCGAGGCGAUGCACGGGCGCCAAACUGCCUGACAACAAGCGCAGGAUCCUAUUAGCAUUUCUAAGGAAAAGCUGCUGGGGACUGGGAUGGGACCUCCGUGCCAUCCCCCGUGAUGGUAAAGAGCAGUUUUGAGAUCAUGGAAGGCAACAGAGGAGACAGCGAGGGCCGUGUUGAACCCAAAAAGACCUGCAAACCAGUCUGCCAUUGUGGUGCUCUUGGACUUUGCGUUUGGACUCUGUUUUGCCCCUCCACAUCAGUCUCCAGAAAAUACGUACAAAUUUACUGUUGAGAUUUCAACCCUUCUUCAUUUAGUUGAAUUUGGUCAAUGUGCUUACAGAUUAACCUUGAAGGAUGUAUGGACAUCCACACAGGCAUGGUCUGACCAAAACUGCCCAUAAAUAAAAUCUGCUAAGGAUGUGUGUCUUGA